UACGAAGGGGGCUAGCGUUGCUCGGAAUCACUGGGCGUAAAGCGCACGUAGGCGGCUUGUUAAGUCAGGGGUGAAAUCCUGGAGCUCAACUCCAGAACUGCCUUUGAUACUGGCGAUCUCGAGUCCGGGAGAGGUGAGUGGAACUGCGAGUGUAGAGGUGAAAUUCGUAGAUAUUCGCAAGAACACCAGUGGCGAAGGCGGCUCACUGGCCCGGUACUGACGCUGAGGUGCGAAAGCGUGGGGAGCAAACAGGG
rnacentral:rRNA from 1 species